GGCACAGCCGGUCCCGGCUGCAGCUUCUGGCUGCGCGGCCUGCGCGCGCCUCCCGGGCGGAUUCCAGCCCCGAGCGCGACAGCGCGGCGGGGAGCGACGAGCCUCGGGUGGUUCAUCCCGCCCGAGAGGAAUGGCGAGAACCUGGAGUGUUGACUGGCAAAACAUUUGCAGACGCGGUUUUUCUGGCAAUUAAUUGGCUCCAUUAAAAAUUAGGUAGUUGGUGGGACUUCCUCCUGAACUCUGGAGCCGAGUGCAUUUUGCUCGGUCUUUUCAGCCCUGUUUCCGCGUCUUUCUUCCCUGCCACCCGCAGAUUGCCAGCUUUCAUCCGUGGCUCUGAGUGCAAAAGAGCUGAGGAAAGCCUUAACCAGAAAUUUUCUUUUAAAUAAAACUUUUCUUUUUAUAGCA
rnacentral:sRNA from 1 species